UGAGGAAUAUUCGUCAAUGGGGGGAACCCUGAACGAGCAACGCCGCGUGGAGGAAGAAGGUCUUUGGAUUGUAAACUCCUUUUCUGUGGGAAGAGAAAGGACGGUACCACAGGAAUAAGUCACGGCUAACUACGUGCCAGCAGCCGCGGUAAUACGUAGGUGGCAAGCGUUAUCCGGAAUUACUGGGCGUAAAGGGCACGCAGGUGGUUUUCAAAGUCUGAUGUGAAAGCUCCUGGCUUAACUGGGAGAGGUCAUUGGAAACUAGGAGACUUGAGGAGAUGAGAGGGGUGCGGAAUUCCCGGUGUAGUGGUGGAAUGCGUAGAUAUCGGGAGGAACACCAGUGGCGAAAGCGGCACCCUGGCAUUGUCCUGACACUGAGGUGCGAAAGCGUGGGUAGCGAACGGGAUUAGAUACCCCCGUAGUCC
rnacentral:rRNA from 1 species